rnacentral:rRNA from 1 species
AUUGAACGCUGGCGGCAGGCUUAACACAUGCAAGUCGAACGAUGACUAACUAGCUUGCUAGAUAUGAUUAGUGGCGGACGGGUGAGUAACAUUUAGGAAUCUGCCUAGUAGUGGGGGAUAGCUCGGGGAAACUCGAAUUAAUACCGCAUACGACCUACGGGUGAAAGGGGGCGCAAGCUCUUGCUAUUAGAUGAGCCUAAAUCAGAUUAGCUAGUUGGUGGGGUAAAGGCCCACCAAGGCGACGAUCUGUAACUGGUCUGAGAGGAUGAUCAGUCACACCGGAACUGAGACACGGUCCGGACUCCUACGGGAGGCAGCAGUGGGGAAUAUUGGACAAUGGGGGCAACCCUGAUCCAGCCAUGCCGCGUGUGUGAAGAAGGCCUUUUGGUUGUAAAGCACUUUAAGCAGGGAGGAGAGGCUAAUGGUUAAUACCCAUUAGAUUAGACGUUACCUGCAGAAUAAGCACCGGCUAACUCUGUGCCAGCAGCCGCGGUAAUACAGAGGGUGCGAGCGUUAAUCGGAAUUACUGGGCGUAAAGCGAGCGUAGGUGGCUCAUUAAGUCACAUGUGAAAUCCCCGGGCUUAACCUGGGAACUGCAUGUGAUACUGGUGGUGCUAGAAUAUGUGAGAGGGAAGUAGAAUUCCAGGUGUAGCGGUGAAAUGCGUAGAGAUCUGGAGGAAUACCGAUGGCGAAGGCAGCUUCCUGGCAUAAUAUUGACACUGAGAUUCGAAAGCGUGGGUAGCAAACAGGAUUAGAUACCCUGGUAGUCCACGCCGUAAACGAUGUCUACUAGCCGUUGGGGUCCUUGAGACUUUAGUGGCGCAGUUAACGCGAUAAGUAGACCGCCUGGGGAGUACGGCCGCAAGGUUAAAACUCAAAUGAAUUGACGGGGGCCCGCACAAGCGGUGGAGCAUGUGGUUUAAUUCGAUGCAACGCGAAGAACCUUACCUGGUCUUGACAUAGUAAGAACUUUCCAGAGAUGGAUUGGUGCCUUCGGGAACUUACAUACAGGUGCUGCAUGGCUGUCGUCAGCUCGUGUCGUGAGAUGUUGGGUUAAGUCCCGCAACGAGCGCAACCCUUUUCCUUAUUUGCCAGCGGGUUAAGCCGGGAACUUUAAGGAUACUGCCAGUGACAAACUGGAGGAAGGCGGGGACGACGUCAAGUCAUCAUGGCCCUUACGACCAGGGCUACACACGUGCUACAAUGGUAGGUACAGAGGGUUGCUACACAGCGAUGUGAUGCUAAUCUCAAAAAGCCUAUCGUAGUCCGGAUUGGAGUCUGCAACUCGACUCCAUGAAGUCGGAAUCGCUAGUAAUCGCAGAUCAGAAUGCUGCGGUGAAUACGUUCCCGGGCCU